AGAACGAACGCUGGCGGCAGGCCUCAAACAUGCAAGUCUAGGGGAUGUAGCAAUACAUCACCGGCGGACGGGUGCGUAACACGUGGGAAUAUACCUUUCGGUACGGAACAACUGCGGGAAACUGCAGCUAAUACCGUAUACGUCCUUACGGAGAAAGAUUUAUCGCCGAAGGAUUAGCCCGCGUUCGAUUAGCUAGUUGGUGAGGUAAUGGCUCACCAAGGCGACGAUCGAUAGCUGUUCUGAGAGGAAGAUCAGCCACACUGGGACUGAGACACGGCCCAAACUCCUACGGGAGGCAGCAGUUGGGAAUCUUGGACAAUGGGGGAAACCCUGAUCCAGCCAUGCCGCGUGAGUGAUGAAGGUCUUCGGGUUGUAAAGCUCUUUUACCCGGGAAGAUAAUGACUGUACCGGGAGAAUAAGCUCCGGCUAACUUCGUGCCAGCAGCCGC
rnacentral:rRNA from 1 species